rnacentral:lncRNA from 1 species
GAAUGGUGUCAUCUGAAGCAGACGUACUAAACAAAAAUGUCAACAAAUAGAUUUUGUCUCCCCAUCAGCAGAUUAUUCAGUUGUUCUGUGAACAUUGCCUUGAAGGUGCCAUUAAAAUGAUAAUUGGGACAAAAACUGACUUAUUUCUAUAUAUUAAAUUGUUAUUAAAUUCUACAUGUCCAAUGAUUUAUUCAAGUAUUAUUAUUGUUUAUGUAUAUGAUAUUGUACAGUAUUCAGUGGCAAGCUAGCCAUGGCAACUGGUCAUGCUAUGCUAAUACACCUACAAUACAAAUGCCUAGAAUGCAAAUGCAUAGCUAGCAAACUUGCAUAGCAUGACCUGUUGCUAUGGCUAGCUUCACCACUGGCAGUAUUAUGAUUAUACAUACAAGAAGUUAUUAGCAUUGAAGGUAUUCAUAUAAAAUCAUCCAUGGCCCAUGCCAACAAAGUAGAAAUAGAAUAUUUGGCUGACCAUCGACAUUGUGCAAGGAGUUUGGUAUUCAAAGUGCAUUUUUCCUACCCCAUGAACAGGUCUUAGGGGCUGUUUACAUGAUGGAAGAUGGGAUGAUUUUGAGUAUUGACUAUUGAAAUAAGUCACUAGGCUAAAUGAAACUUCAAAUGCUGGUUAACAGAACUGAAAUGUUGUAGACCAUGAUUUAUUUCAAUACAUCGAAAUCGCCCUGCCUCGUAUCUCAUCCUGGCAAACCAGGAUCAUAUACAACCCCUUAGUUAGCAAAUGCACAUGCUGGCUUUGAUCCAUUGAGGAUGAGGCAGCACUUCCCUUGCGAUAGUAACUUCUAGUUAUAGCCAGCAUAGCUUCAAUAAAAUAUAUUGAAGUAAAUAUGACAUCAAGUACUCUUUUAUUAAAAGCGAUAGCUAUGUGCGUGUUUCACUUGUAU